UACGGAGGGGGCUAGCGUUGUUCGGAUUUACUGGGCGUAAAGCGCACGUAGGCGGCAUAUUAAGUUAGAGGUGAAAGGCCUGGGCUCAACCUAGGAACUGCCUUUGAUACUGGUAUGCUUGAGUUCGGAAGAGGGUAGUGGAAUUCCAAGUGUAGAGGUGAAAUUCGUAGAUAUUUGGAAGAACACCGGUGGCGAAGGCGGCUACCUGGUCCGAUACUGACGCUGAGGUGCGAAAGCGUGGGGAGCGAACAGG
rnacentral:misc_RNA from 1 species